rnacentral:lncRNA from 1 species
UUUUUUUUUUUUUUUUUUUGAGACAGUCUUGCUCUGUCGCCCAGGCUGGAGUGCAGUGGCAUGAUCUCAGUCCACUGCAACCUCUGCCUCACAGGUUCAAUGGAUUCUCCUGCCUCAGCCUCCCGAGUAGCUGGGAUUACAGGUGCCCGCCACCACGAUUGGCUAAUUUGUAUAUUUUUAGUAGAGAUGGGGUCUCACCAUGUUGGCCAGGCUGGUCUCCAACGCCUGACCUCAGGUGAUCCGCCCGCCUCGGCCUCCCAAAGUGCUGGGGUCACAGGUGUGAGCCACCACACCCGGCCUCUAACAGCUUAGCUCUGAGAAAGGGCUCUUGUGUGAGACAACCAGCUUGGAAGGGGCUGGAGUCAUCACGGAGCUUCCCAGGGGCUGGGUGGGUGAAGAAGGCGGCCCAUUCGCGACUCACUUGUUCAUUAUUCCAAGAGGAAUCAUGUGCUCUAUGCGAGUGUUAGAUACAAGGGUGUGCCAACCUCUGAGGCUCCCUUUGGACACGAGAAAUGAAGCCACUGAGAAAAGCGCUCCCUGAUGCUGGGUGGUGGGUUUCUGGCUUAGGACAGACGAUGGCAGCACCGAGCACAGAGCCUGUGGGCAAUGCCGGAGCCCUGAGGGACGCCGCACCCGCCCCACACAGGUUUUCACUCCGGAGAGGAAGGAAGGAUGUCGUAUGUCCGAGGACCUGGACUGAAGAUGAAAAGACAGUGCAGGGUGACAGGCUCAGAGGGGAGGAGCCUGACUCUGAACCUGGGUCUCCUGGCUGUAAAUCCAGCCUCCAUCCAUGGCCACCUCCCACCCUCACCACCCGGGCAGGACUGUUGUGAACUGCAGUGGUCGUGCCUCCAGACACCCAGCGGCUCUGGUUGUAGAAUCAGCUUUGUCGAAAUCAAAGUGACUUUGAGCAAGAGAAGAUGCCCCACUGCAGAGUUGGGAGAAAUUCCAGUUUCUUUUUCCCAGGUCAGGCAAUCAAGGGACAAUGGUGUGAGCCGGUCAGGCCGAGCAGGGCUCUUCUCCCGUUCCUUCCUCAUCCGCGAAUGCCAUUGCGUCCCCCAGCCACGCCAUGCGCUGCCAACAUCACAGCAGGCUCCCCGGGGAAAGACCUGGCAGAGGGGCCACGGUGAUGCCACCACACAUAGAAGAGGUCGUCCUCAAACAAGCGCCCUGCAACGCUGCCAUUGUACUGGAGCAGUGCUGGCCUCAGAGGGAAACUCCAGCCAGAGUGGCUGGAACCCCCAUGGAGAAGUCCAUCCUGCUCAGGGCCCAGCACCUCAUGGGCGUGAGUCCCCUGUCUCGUCCAGGGAAGUGGAUGAGAGCCAGUGGGGCCCCUGUGGCGGAGGCAGAGCCCACCCAAAUCCCUGAAGACCUCCUAGCUCAUCUGGGUGGGGCAGGGAUUGGCACCCAGCUGUCGUGGGAUCACAGGGACCUGACCCCCAGUCACCAUCCCAGAACAGAGACUGUCACCAUCCACAUCGCACUGCAAAGCUUCCCUGGGUUCAGCUACGACUCCCAGAAGCCACAGCCCCAUGCCUCAAGAUGAGCCCUUGUUAGAUCAUCAAAGCUGUGCUGCUUCCUGUCUGUGGCUCCUGGAACGGCCUAGCUAGUUCCCUGUUACUUGGUUCCCUCCUGCAAGGACCAGUGCUGCCGGCACCUGGAGCCCCCUGCCCUCCAGCCUCUCUGAAGCCCUCUCCUGCCUCAAGCUGCCUCCCGCAGGAAGCCCUCCCUGGCCCCCGGUGGCUUACAGGGCUUUCUCCUGACCUUCCCACCCGACACUCAUCUGUGUGGGGCUCUGGAGGGCUGGCCUAGGUUCCCCGGGCAAGUGUCUGCUGUGUGUCUGCUCCCUCAGCUCUCAGGGAGCUCGCCGCCAGAGCUUCUGUGAGGGGAUUUUACACAGAAGAGGGAUCACCCCUCAGAGGGGAAAAUGGGGCCAGCAGGGUGGACCCUACAGGGAUGUGGAUUUUGGCUUCAAAGAUGGAAGGAAUUUCUAGCAGACCUAUCUAUUUAAGGAUGGAAUGCACGCCUGCUUGCUCUUGUCUCGGGAGGUGCCCGUGGGAUCUGGAGAGCCAGUGAGGAGUGGGGAGAGGAAGGUGGGAGCUCUGACCUUCCAGAACAUUGCCUCCCUCUGUGUACCGGGGCCAAAUAUCUCUGGCACACGACCAAGAACUCAGAAAUGUUUAAAUCUGAAAUAUUUUAAUAGUAAGAAUCAGCAGCAGCUCCAUGUCCUCUCCACGCCUCAUGAGACUUUCCUAAUACGAAAAGCUAAAAACAAUUGAAGACAUUUUGAGUUUCGCCUUCCAGGGUCUCAGCCUGGGCUGUCUGGACUGGUGACUGCCACCAGCCUUGCCCCAAAUUGAACAGGCUUCUCUUGGAACUCGGUGAACAAGCAGCAACUUGGUGGCACUGGUGCCGCGUGCGGCGUCCGCCCUUUCCCAGAGGCUCCCUUGUGCACAGCUCCGAGAGGUGGAAGGAGCCCCCAGCAGACAUGCUCGAGGCAUGUUCUUGGCCCAGGAAGCCCCGACCAGGGGCGCUGCUGACUAUGGGAGUGGACAGCACAGCCCAGAGCCCUCUUCUCCAAAGCCACUGACGAAAGAGGCCUCGGACCGAGCCUGGUGCCCCCAGACCCCACCUCUCCCCACGGGCUGUGGCGGGGGGUGGGGGACUGUCAAGAGGAUGUCAGGGUUACAUCUCCAAUUGUGGUCUUAAGGCCCUUGUGCCAUUUACAAACUGAAAAGAUGAAGAAGGACUUGAUUUGUGGUGACAAGCCCCAUGGGACAAUUGCAGGAAUCGACUCGCCAUGCUCAUAACAUAAAGAUACUGGGGAACACCUUUGGGGAACCUUCUUCCUCAAGCUGGCAGCACAGGCUAACAGGGGCAGCUGUUACCUCAAAGGGACCUGGGGAUAAAAGCCACACCGGCACCUGUAGUGGCCUCAAUCAUGUCUCCUAAAGAGGUCAGGUCCUAAUCCUUGGACCCUGCAAAUGUGUCCUUGUUUGGAGAAAGGGCCAAUGACUAAAUGAAGGUUCUGGAGACAAGAUGAUCCUGGACCACCUGGGUGGGCCCUGAAUGCAAUCACAGAUGUCCUCAUAAGAGGGAGGCGGACGGAGCUCUGUUCUAGAGAGGAGAGAGUGUGCGGGGACGGAGCAGAGAGAGAUGAAGAUGCCGGCCCUGGAGACUGGAGUGAGCCGCAGGAGGUCAGGCACGCAGGGCUCACGGCAACAGCUUCCGUUUCCCACCUGCUGUGUGCUGUGGGCCGUAAGAGAACCAGUGGCGGUGAGGCAGGCUGGCCACUUCCAGGCCACGUGUGGGCAGAUGCAAGUGCUUUGCCGGUGAGCCUAUGACAGAGUGCAAAUAAACAGAAAAAGUGCAUGGAGAGAAGCGCUGAGGAAAGCGGACAUGGAGGCUGAGCCUUGUCACGCAUGCACCCAUCUUUGAGUCAUCCCUGGUGGGACCCUGCUGAGCAACGGAACCUCUUUGAUUGUACCUGAAGCCACCACCUCCCCAUUAACUUUGUGGCCAUGAGCACAGCUGAGGGACCACUCAGACACCUGCCCCGUUCCAAUCUCCCAACGCCA